AACGCUGGCGGCGUGCUUAACACAUGCAAGUCGAGCGAUGAAGUUUCUUCGGAAAUGGAUUAGCGGCGAACGGGUGAGUAACACGUGAGCAACCUGCCCCUAACUCUGGGAUAACGCUUCGAAAGGAGUGCUAAUACCGGAUAUGAGCCUGGAAGACAUCUUCUGGGUUGGAAAGUUUUUCGGUUAGGGAUGGGCUCGCGGCCUAUCAGCUUGUUGGUGAGGUAAAGGCUCACCAAGGCGACGACGGGUAUCCGGCCUGAGAGGGCGACCGGACACACUGGGACUGAGACACGGCCCAGACUCCUACGGGAGGCAGCAGUGGGGAAUAUUGCGCAAUGGGCGAAAGCCUGACGCAGCGACGCCGCGUGAGGGAUGAAGGUCUUCGGAUUGUAAACCUCUUUCAGCAGGGACGAAGCGAAAGUGACGGUACCUGAAGAAGAAGCACCGGCUAACUACGUG
rnacentral:rRNA from 1 species